AGGGUUCGAUCCUGGCUCAGGAUAAACGCUGGCGGCGUGCUUAACACAUGCAAGUCGAACGAAGUUUUUCUUUCGGGAGGAACUUAGUGGCGGACGGGUGAGUAACGCGUGGGUAACCUGCCCUGUACAGGGGGACAACAGCUGGAAACGGCUGCUAAUACCGCAUAAGCCCUUAGCGCUGCAUGGUGCGUAGGGAAAAGGAGCAAUCCGGUACAGGAUGGACCCGCGUCUGAUUAGCCAGUUGGCAGGGUAACGGCCCACCAAGCCGACGAUCGGUAGCCGACCUGAGAGGGUGAUCGGCCACAUUGGGACUGAGACACGGCCCAA
rnacentral:rRNA from 1 species